rnacentral:ncRNA from 1 species
CAGGGUAACUUGCUGAGUGAUUAAGCAGAAGUCAGCAGACGGCAUAGUAGCCAAACGCCUACCGUAAUGGGUAGGACACGGUGAAGGCC